rnacentral:rRNA from 1 species
UACGUAGGGUGCAAGCGUUACUCGGAAUUACUGGGCGUAAAGCGUGCGUAGGUGGUUUGUUAAGUCUGUUGUGAAAGCCCCGGGCUCAACCUGGGAAUGGCAGUGGAUACUGGCAAGCUAGAGUGCGGUAGAGGGUAGUGGAAUUCCCGGUGUAGCGGUGAAAUUCGUAGAUAUUGGGAAGAACACCGGUGGCGAAGGCGGCUCUCUGGACCGAGACUGACGCUGAGGCGCGAAAGCGUGGGGAGCAAACAGG